AGUAGUUGAUUAGUGGCUCAGAACGACGCUGGCGGCGCGUUUAAGCAUGCAAGUCGAGCGGCAAGGGCCUUCGGGCCCCUAGAGCGGCGGACGGGUGAGUAACACGUGGACAAUCUGCCCCCCGGCCCGGGAUAGCCCAGGGAAACCUGGAUUAAUACCGGAUGAGACGGGACCCGCGAUGGCGGGAUCCGGGAAAGGCGCUGCGGCGCCGCCGGGGGAUGAGUCUGCGUCCCAUUAGCUAGACGGCGGGGUAACGGCCCACCGUGGCGACGAUGGGUAGCCGGCCUGAGAGGGUGGACGGCCACAUUGGAACUGAGACACGGUCCAGACUCCUACGGGAGGCAGCAGCUAAGAAUCUUCCGCAAUGGGCGAAAGCCUGACGGAAGCGACGCCGCGUGAACGAAGAAGGCCGUGAGGUUGUAAAGUUCUUUUCGGGAGGGGGAACAACCGUGGCAGGGAAUGGCCGCGGGAUGACGUGAAUCCCGGAAUAAGCCCCGGCUAACUACGUGCCAGCCGCCGC
rnacentral:rRNA from 1 species